CAUGUUCUAUUGUUUCUGCAGAGAGCAGUGUGUGACUGCCAGCCCCACCGCACAUGGGAAAGCACGGACCCACACUGUUGGAGAAUGUGGGUAGGACAGUGAAGAAGUCACAGACGCCCCCUCCACACGCGGUGUUACCCCUUUUGGACUGGUUUGGAUUUUUUUUUUCUCUCCUCACCCCUUGGACUCACACACCUUCUCUGUUUUCCCCAGUUGGCGCUCCUCCCUCAAAGAUGGAAGAACUGCUGAAGCACCUCACCGAGAUGUUAGAGACCGUGGCCACACGGGAGGCGUGGCCCAAGGAAGAGUGGGCACAGAUCGUGGCCCUGCUGUUAACGGGAGAGUCACAACGGGCAUACUUCACGCUUCGGGGUCGGGGUUCGACUGCUUACUCGCCGCCGUCACUCAACCUACCAGUCCCGCCGGGAGCUGCCCAACCCGGAAGACCCUGAAGAAGUCCCAAUGGCGUCCCAUGUUGCAGGCCUCGGACAGCCCCAAGGACGAACUACAGAACCAGCCAAUCCAUUCCAACGCUUUUCCAGCUGAGUGUUGUAUCCAGUUAGUACAGCCACCUCCUGAUGCUGAAUAUCCAGUGAUCUUACAGCCGAAGGAAAAUGAUUCUCCAGGUUUUAUCACCAUGAGAGCAGGCUGAUUUAACUCAAUGCAAUUAACACCUGGGAACAUACAUUUGAAAACAUUGUCAUUAACUGAAAUGAGUUGUGCACAUUAUUGUCACACAUAUUUUAAAUAGUAGCAGCUACAAGACUCCCUAAUAAACCCGUAGUAUAGUGUUGAUACUGUUACUCACUGGAUGCUGUAGAUAAAAUCAUUAGCAAUAAUCUAAAUUACAUAAGGAAGAUUUGCAUCAAUACUUUUUAGUGAACAAAUUCAAACUACAAAAUGAAAAUGUCCCUAAAUUAAAUUGAAAACACUGAAGUCUUUUUUGUAAAUGAGCCAUUAAAAAUCAUUAAAUAUCUUCUGUUUGUUUCUUCUUGACACCUAUUUUACAAAAAAUUAAGAUGUAAAAUCUAGUUAAACAAAAGUCUUUA